rnacentral:tRNA from 1 species
GCACACAUAGCUCAGUAGGAUAGAGCGACGCUCUCCUAAAGCGUAGGCCGGGGGUUCGAUUCCUCUUGUGUGCACCA